rnacentral:pre_miRNA from 1 species
UCUUCAUUUCACGUGCUCUCUCGGCGGUCAGAGAGGCGAGAGAGUGUGCCAAAUGACGAGA